AAUAAAAUGGCUGAGAAAUUAAGCACUAGAUUUACAAUCUAAUUACGAAUUUAUUAAAUUCUUUUAUUA
rnacentral:tRNA from 1 species